rnacentral:rRNA from 1 species
GACAGAGGGUGCAAACGUUGUUCGGAAUUACUGGGCGUAAAGCGCGUGUAGGCGGCUUUGCAAGUCGGGUGUGAAAGCCCUCAGCUCAACUGAGGAAGUGCGCCCGAAACUGCAGAGCUUGAGUGCCGGAGAGGGUGGCGGAAUUCCCCAAGUGAGAGGUGAAAGUUCGUAGAUAUGGGGAGGAACACCGGUGGCGAAGGCGGCCACCU